GGGCCCGCACAAGCGGUGGAGUAUGUGGUUUAAUUCGAUGCAACGCGAAGAACCUUACCAGGGUUUGACAUCCUGCGAAUCUCUUGGAAACAGGAGAGUGCCUUCGGGAACGCAGUGACAGGUGGUGCAUGGCUGUCGUCAGCUCGUGUCGUGAGAUGUUGGGUUAAGUCCCGCAACGAGCGCAACCCACGUCUUUAGUUGCCAGCAUUUAGUUGGGCACUCUAGAGAGACUGCCGGUGAUAAACCGGAGGAAGGUGUGGAUGACGUCAAGUCAUCAUGCCCCUUACAUCCUGGGCUACACACGUGCUACAAUGGUCGGUACAGAGGGCUGCCAACCCGCGAGAGCUAGCAAAUCCCAUAAACCGUGGCUCAGUUCAGAUCGUAGGCUGCAACUCGCCUACGUGAAGUAGGAAUCGCUAGUAAUCG
rnacentral:rRNA from 1 species